UACAGAGGGUGCGAGCGUUAAUCGGAAUUACUGGGCGUAAAGCGUGCGUAGACGGUUAUUUAAGUCGGGUGUGAAAGCCCCGGGCUCAACCUGGGAAUUGCAUUCGAGACUGAAUAGCUAGGGUACGGUAGAGGGAAGCGGAAUUUCCGGUGUAGCGGUGAAAUGCGUAGAUAUCGGAAGGAACAUCAGUGGCGGAAGCGGCUUCCUGGACCAGUACCGACGUUCAGGCACGAAAGCGUGGGGAGCAAACAGG
rnacentral:rRNA from 1 species